GGAAAUGUAGCUCAAUGGUGGAGCACUUGCCUAGUGUACAAGCGGUCCUGGGUUCAAUCCCCAGUACUG
rnacentral:tRNA from 1 species